rnacentral:rRNA from 1 species
AACGGACUAUUUGAUUGAGUAAUCGAGAUAAUAGUUAGUGGCGUAAGGGUGAGGAAUGAAUAGGUAACGUACCCCGAACUUCGGGAUAGCGUCUGAUGCUUCGGCAUCUUGCGAAAGCGGCGGUAAUACCGAAUAAUAUCGUAUAACUUAAGUUGUAUGAUCAAAGAUUUAUCGGUUUGGGAGCGGCCUAUUUCCUAUCAGCUUGUUGGUGAGGUAAUGGCUCACCAAGGCAUCGACGGGUAGCGGGACUGAGAGGUUGACCCGCCACAUUGGGACUGAGACACUGCCCAGACCCCCACGGGGGGCUGCAGUAACGAAUAUUGUGCAAUGGGCGAAAGCCUGACACAGCGACGCCGCGUGUAGGAUGAAGCUUCUCGGAGUGUAAACUACUGUCAGGGGUUAGAAAGUGCGCUUCGGCGUAUUGAUCAGCCCCAGAGGAAGUCACGGCUAACUUCGUGCCAGCAGCCGCGGUAAUACGAAGGUGGCGAGCGUUGUUCGGAAUCACUGGGCUUAAAGCGCGCGUAGGCGGAAUAGAUAGUGUCUUGUGAAAGCCCCCGGCUUAACCGGGGAAUUGCGAGGCAUACUGCUAUUCUUGAGGCAAGUAGGGGUACAUGGAACUCUUGGUGGAGCGGUGGAAUGCGUAGAUAUCAAGAGGAACGCCAAAGGUGAAGACAGUGUACUGGGCUUGUCCUGACGCUGAGGUGCGAAAGCGUGGGGAGCGAAAGGGAUUAGAUACCCCUGUAGUCCACGCUGUAAACGAUGUCUACUAGGUUGCGGGUGUUCUGACACAGUCGCAGUCGAAGCAAAAGUGUUAAGUAGACCGCCUGGGGAGUACGGUCGCAAGGCUAAAACUCAAAGGAAUUGACGGGGGCUCACACAAGCGGUGGAGCAUGUGGAUUAAUUCGAAGCAACGCGCAGAACCUUACCUGGGUUUGACAUGUUUGGAUGGCUCGCCGGAAACGGAUGAGUCUACCUUCGGGUGAAACUUACACAGGUGCUGCAUGGCUGUCGUCAGCUCGUGUCGUGAGAUGUCGGGUUAAGUCCUUUAACGAGCGAAACCCUUGCCGUUAGUUGCCAGCGAGUAAUGUCGGGGACUCUAGCGGGACUGCCGGUGUUAAACCGGAGGAAGGUGGGGAUGACGUCAAGUCCUCAUGGCCUUUAUGCCCAGGGCUUCACACGUGCUACAAUGGUCACUACAGAGCGACGCGAGACCGCGAGGUGGAGCAAAUCCCAGAAAGCCGGCCCCAGUUCGGAUUGCAGGCUGAAACUCGCCUGCAUGAAGUUGGAAUCGCUAGUAAUCGUGGGUCAGCAAUACCACGGUGAAUACGUUCCCGGGCCUUGUACACACCGCCCGUCACACCACGAAAGUUAGUUGUACCAGAAGUCGUUGGGCUAACCCCGUUUCGGCGGGGAGGCAGGCGC